rnacentral:rRNA from 1 species
CGCCUAACACAUGCAAGUCGAACGAAGUAGCAAUACUUAGUGGCAGACGGGUGAGUAACAUGUGGGUAUCUACCCUUUGGCCUGGAAUAACACGAGGAAACUUGUGCUAAUACCGGAUAAGUCUUUACGGAGAAAGCUUUAUGCACCAUUGGAUGAGCCUGCACUUGAUUAGUUAGUUGGUAGGGUAAUAGCCUACCAAGACUUUGAUCAAUAGCUGAUUUGAGAGGAUGAUCAGCCACAUUGGGACUGAGACACGGCCCAAACUCCUACGGGAGGCAGCAGUGGGGAAUCUUGCACAAUGGAGGAAACUCUGAUGCAGCGAUGCCGCGUGAGUGAAGAAGGCCCUUGGGUUGUAAAGCUCUUUCGUCGGGGAAGAAAAUGACUGUACCCGAAUAAGAAGGUCCGGCUAACUUCGUGCCAGCAGCCGCGGUAAUACGAAGGGACCUAGCGUAGUUCGGAAUUACUGGGCUUAAAGAGUUCGUAGGUGGUUGAAAAAGUUGGUGGUGAAAUCCCAGAGCUUAACUCUGGAACUGCCAUCAAAACUUUUCAGCUAGAGUUUGAUAGAGGAAAGCAGAAUUUCUAGUGUAGAGGUGAAAUUCGUAGAUAUUAGAAAGAAUACCAAUUGCGAAGGCAGCUUUCUGGAUCAUUACUGACACUGAGGAACGAAAGCAUGGGUAGCGAAGAGGAUUAGAUACCCUCGUAGUCCAUGCCGUAAACGAUGUGUGUUAGACGUUGGAAAUUUAUUUUCAGUGUCGCAGCAAAAGCGAUAAACACACCGCCUGGGG